rnacentral:rRNA from 1 species
GGCGUGCUUAACACAUGCAAGUCGAACGGAAAGGCCCUGCUUUUGUGGGGUGCUCGAGUGGCGAACGGGUGAGUAACACGUGGGUAACCUGCCCUUGACUUUGGGAUAACUUCAGGAAACUGGGGCUAAUACCGGAUAGGAGCUCCUGCUGCAUGGUGGGGGUUGGAAAGUUUCGGCGGUUGGGGAUGGACUCGCGGCUUAUCAGCUUGUUGGUGGGGUAGUGGCUUACCAAGGCUUUGACGGGUAGCCGGCCUGAGAGGGUGACCGGCCACAUUGGGACUGAGAUACGGCCCAGACUCCUACGGGAGGCAGCAGUGGGGAAUAUUGCACAAUGGGCGGAAGCCUGAUGCAGCAACGCCGCGUGCGGGAUGACGGCCUUCGGGUUGUAAACCGCUUUCGCCUGUGACGAAGCGUGAGUGACGGUAAUGGGUAAAGAAGCACCGGCUAACUACGUGCCAGCAGCCGCGGUGAUACGUAGGGUGCGAGCGUUGUCCGGAUUUAUUGGGCGUAAAGGGCUCGUAGGUGGUUGAUCGCGUCGGAAGUGUAAUCUUGGGGCUUAACCCUGAGCGUGCUUUCGAUACGGGUUGACUUGAGGAAGGUAGGGGAGAAUGGAAUUCCUGGUGGAGCGGUGGAAUGCGCAGAUAUCAGGAGGAACACCAGUGGCGAAGGCGGUUCUCUGGGCCUUUCCUGACGCUGAGGAGCGAAAGCGUGGGGAGCGAACAGGCUUAGAUACCCUGGUAGUCCACGCUGUAAACGGUGGGUACUAGGUGUGGGGUCCAUUCCACGGGUUCCGUGCCGUAGCUAACGCUUUAAGUACCCCGCCUGGGGAGUACGGCCGCAAGGCUAAAACUCAAAGGAAUUGACGGGGCCCCGCACAAGCGGCGGAGCAUGCGGAUUAAUUCGAUGCAACGCGUAGAACCUUACCUGGGUUUGACAUGGAUCGGGAGUGCUCAGAGAUGGGUGUGCCUCUUUUGGGGUCGGUUCACAGGUGGUGCAUGGCUGUCGUCAGCUCGUGUCGUGAGAUGUUGGGUUAAGUCCCGCAACGAGCGCAACCCUUGUUCACUGUUGCCAGCACGUUAUGGUGGGGACUCAGUGGAGACCGCCGGGGUCAACUCGGAGGAAGGUGGGGAUGACGUCAAGUCAUCAUGCCCCUUAUGUCCAGGGCUUCACGCAUGCUACAAUGGCUGGUACAGAGAGUGGCGAGCCUGUGAGGGUGAGCGAAUCUCGGAAAGCCGGUCUCAGUUCGGAUUGGGGUCUGCAACUCGACCUCAUGAAGUCGGAGUCGCUAGUAAUCGCAGAUCAGCAACGCUGCGGUGAAUACGUUCCCGGGGCUUGUACACACCGCCCGUCAAGUCAUGAAAGUUGGUAACACCCGAAGCCGGUGGCCUAACCGUUGUGGGGGAGCCGUCGAAGGUGGGACUGGUGAUU